ensembl:lncRNA
UUCCAGGCUGGUUGGGACCACCAACUCAUCAACUGGGCCCUCACAGAUGUCCGAUAGGCGACUUUUUGACAUCAAGAGGCUAGAAACUCCACCCUCAGAUCAUGCCAAUGCCGCCAUUUUGUGAACAUGGAUCCUGUGAAGAGGCCAAGAAGUACAAGCAUAGCAGGAACUCAUGCCAGCAGGAAUAUGCAAGUCAAAGCUCAGCAGUUCUAAUCUUCCCCCCUUCAAUGUACCCCGGCCCUACACAAGGCCAUUCUCCGAGGGAGUAUCCUGGGAACAAACAAUCUGGCAAGUUAUGCAGACUGCGUUCCGUUCCUGCAAGGGUCCAGCGUUCUUAAGCCCCUUGCCUUCAGGCUGUUUCAUCUGGAGCCUUUAGAUUUCAUCAGAACAGCUUGUGUCAGAUGUGCUGGGGGGCAGCCUGGAACUCUGGAAUACAAAAGCCGUGAGACCUCACCCAGAGACCCACUCGCGCCUUGAAGUACCACUAGAGAUCUGGGUCCUACAAACACAGAAAUUUUCAUCAAUUCCACUUUGUUCAGUUCCCACCAAUAAGAGGAAAAGCUAAGCCAGGACAGUGGCUGGUUGGAGAUUCCUGAAGGCAGUACAACCUGCUGUUCACGCCGGUGCCCAGGUGCAGUGGGAGCGCACGCUUCCCAAUUCCUGCUGCCAACAAGGCCGGCCACCGUCCAGCUCUUCCACCUGGCACUGGAGCAUCCUGAUGUUGCCCAUCCCUGGGACAUGGCGUAUCCCUUUCUGCAAGACAGAUAAGUAACUGAAAAUAAAGAACCGGCGUGAAGAGAAUUGGAAGAGAACUUUGAACCCUGGGACCCAGUGAAAAUGAAUAGGUGGGGUGACAAAGAGGAAAACUGAAGGUGCCGGACCCACUAGGGGAAUGCAGAAGGAGAGGCAGAGAGCAAGAGAAAAUCAGGAAGGAAAAGAGAACAGAACUCACUUUCACUGAGCAAUGACUUUGUGCCAGAACAGUAAAAUGACUUUG